rnacentral:lncRNA from 1 species
AUGCAUCUAAAUCAUAUAAUCAAUAAGCUAAGGUAUAUUUAAUAGUUUCUACAUUUUUAAAAAUUAUUACAUAUAAAUAGGUCAGUGUGUGAUAUAACUUUAAAAUGAAACCAGUUUUUAUAGACUUUACUUUACAUUUUAAAUCCUAUAAAAAAUAAAUAAAUGAUGACACUGUAAAUGAGUACCUAAACAAGAAAAAAUACAUUACG